ACUCCUACGGGAGGCAGCAGUGAGGAAUAUUGGUCAAUGGGCGCAAGCCUGAACCAGCCAUCCCGCGUGCAGGAAGACGGCCCUAUGGGUUGUAAACUGCUUUUCCAGGGAGAGAAACUUACGCACGUGUUGCGUGACUGACGGUACCCUGGGAAUAAGCAUCGGCUAACUCCGUGCCAGCAGCCGCGGUAAUACGGAGGAUGCAAGCGUUAUCCGGAUUCAUUGGGUUUAAAGGGUGCGUAGGCGGGCUAUUAAGUCAGUGGUGAAAUCCUGCAGCUUAACUGCAGAACUGCCGUUGAUACUGAUAGUCUUGAGUUUGGUUAAGGUAGGCGGAAUGUGUAAUGUAGCGGUGAAAUGCUUAGAUAUUACACAGAACACCAAUUGCGUAGGCAGCUUACUGAGCCGACACUGACGCUGAGGCACGAAAGCGUGGGGAUCAAACAGGAUUAGAUACCCUGGUAGU
rnacentral:rRNA from 1 species